CUUGAUUUAACACGAACAUACACGCUUACAGUCACGCAAAGACAGCUGAAACAGAUAUUUUCCUGUUAUCUGAAGUGCUUCGCUGUACAAAAAUUACAGUUGUGCGAAGAUGGCUGAAUCGAGUGGAUCAUCCUCACAUCCUGAAGAUGAUCAGGACAGCUCAUCGUUGUUCCAUAGAAAAGGAAGCAAAAAUUGUCCUCCGACCAUGGCAAACAAACAACUGAAAGGAAUUUCUGUCUCCAGUCUCUCAUCCAGACGGAUUGUUCUUCUAGGUAAAAGUGGUGCUGGGAAAAGUGCAGCUGGAAACAAAAUACUGGGACAGAAAGAGUUCAGAUCUGAGACAGGAAGGAGAUCAGUAACCCGUGAAUGUUCAGAAGCUCACGCCACUGUUUCAGGCAGAACUGUUUAUGUAGUUGAUACUCCUGGAUUCUUUCACACACAGAUAAAAACUGAGGAGUUAGCUGUAGAGGUAGAGAGAUGCGUUUAUUUAUCCAGUCCUGGACCUCACGCUUUUCUCAUUGUGUUUCCUGUGAUUAUGAGAUUCACUGAGAUGGAGCAGCAGAUUCCUCAGGAGAUUGAGAUGAUGUUUGGUGAAGAAGUGUUAAAAUACUCCAUCAUUCUCUUCACUCAUGGAGAUCGGAUAGAUAAACCCAUAGAGACACUCAUUAAGGAGAACUGUAGAUUAAGAUAUCUAGUUGAUCAGUGUGGAGGAAGAUUUCACGUCUUCAACAAUGAAGAUCAGAAUAA